GACGAACGCUGGCGGCGCGCCUAACACAUGCAAGUCGAACGAGCGAGAGAGAGCUUGCUUUCUUGAGCGAGUGGCGAACGGGUGAGUAACGCGUGAGGAACCUGCCUCAAAGAGGGGGACAACAGUUGGAAACGACUGCUAAUACCGCAUAAGCCCACGGUGCCGCAUGGCACAGAGGGAAAAGGAGCAAUCCGCUUUGAGAUGGCCUCGCGUCCGAUUAGCUAGUUGGUGAGGUAACGGCCCACCAAGGCGACGAUCGGUAGCCGGACUGAGAGGUUGAACGGCCACAUUGGGACUGAGACACGGCCCAGACUCCUACGGGAGGCAGCAGUGGGGAGUAUUGCACAAUGGGGGAAACCCUGAUGCAGCGACGCCGCGUGGAGGAAGAAGGUCUUCGGAUUGUAAACUCCUGUUGUUGGGGAAGAUAAUGACGGUACCCAACAAGGAAGUGACGGCUAACUACGUG
rnacentral:rRNA from 1 species